CAGUCAUCAUCAUAAUCAGUCAUCAUCAUAAUCAGUCAUCAUCAUAAUCAGUCAUCAUCAUAAUCAGUCAUCAUCAUAAUCAGUCAUCAUCAUAAUCAGUCAUCAUCAUAAUCAGUCAUCAUCAUGAUCAGUCAUCAUCAUAAUCAGUCAUCAUCAUGAUCAGUCAUCAUCAUAAUCAGUCAUCAUCAUAAUCAGUCAUCAUCAUAAUCAGUCAUCAUCAUGAUCAGUCAUCAUCAUAAUCAGUCAUCAUCAUGAUCAGUCAUCAUCAUGAUCAGUCAUCAUCAUGAUCAGUGAUCAUCAUAAUCAGUCAUCAUCAUGAUCAGUCAUCAUCAUAAUCAGUCAUCAUCAUAAUCAGUCAUCAUCAUAAUCAGUCAUCAUCAUAGUUAUAUUCAUUGCCUCAUCGACUUUCGCACAUAAUAUAUCGUUGCCAAAUUGACAUUUCCCCCAAGCAUUUUGCGAAUUAGUUUAAGACCGAAACAGAUGUUCCCUAUAAUUCUACCCUCUGCUUCCGGCUAAUGGUGUCUGUCAUUUUGCCCAACGGCAUAACAAACGUGACUGAAAAUGUCAGUCUCUCUGGGUCACUCCGUUCCUGUGUGUUUUUGCUUUCAUUUCUAGUAUCAAGUUUAACGUUCUAGUUUUAAUGAUCCCGAUUGUUUAAAACCCACUUGAUAACAAGGGCUGCAGACAUUGAUGAGAAAGAGAAUAAUUAAGACCGCAUUUAAAUCCACCUUGUCUUACUCAAAGUAGAGCCAGCUAGACGUAGGACAAUCAAUUGCUAUUUGAUAUAAGGUAUCGGAAGCCAAAAAGGGUAGUUAAAAUACAGGGUUGAAUCACUGUCUAUGGUUACGUUGUUUUGUAAUAUAAGGCGGGGUUAUGUUGUUAGAUAUAAGGCGAGACUUUAAACACAUUUUCGAUGUUUAAGACCUUUUUCAUGCUUGAUUUCAUGUCUCCCCUGCUCCCCGCCUUCAUUGACUGCAUUGGUUGUUUUAACGGGUUGAAGUCGGCUUUUGUUUCUUCACAAACAUGCCAGUUGCCAUAGCUACUCAAAGGGAUGGCUCACUCGUUUGAUCUUUCACCUCCCAGGGGUUCUCUGUAAAUUUUGUUCCCUAUUCUAGCUUUUGCAAUGGUUUGCAGCAGGGGUGCCGCCCUAAAAUGUUAGGACGGUGGGUGUGUUUUAGGCAAAUUCAAGAGAUCCAUGACCCAUGACCACACCCCUCCAUACCCAAUAUACUUGCAUUUGUGUUAAAGACUCUCCGUUGUGUGUAGAAAUUAUUCAAACUAUUCAAUGACACAAAAGACUGAUAAGAAAUUGCUCAUUAAUGAGGAAUCUAUAAUAUAAGAGAGGGUUGCCAACACGGAAUUCGUCCAACAAAAUAUGAACUCACUUUGUUAAGGGGGAGGAAGCCCUUCCAAAAUCCCUCUGAAUUUCAACAAGGGACCCCGAGCCCCCUGAGCCCCCCUGAGCCCCCCUUCACGGCACAACUGGUUUCCAUGUAGGUAACCAUAGGAUAUUUCAUGGCUUCUGAUGAUUUCCCGCUUACUUUUAGGAGAAUCUUGAGGGCUUUUGUGAGACCGACCAAGAUGACAACAUCCCUGACGAUGCUUCACAGACAUCAAAAGAUUUGACGAGAAAUAACAGCGUCGGUGAGCCAGUUUAGGAGACAUUCUUCAUAAAGUAGAUUGUUGCGCAAGUCGCCUAAUGCAGAUAGGUAUGAACACUAAACUUAGUUUCGAUGUUUCAUUUUUAUAGGAAAAAUAAAUUUCUCUUCACUAGUUUUAUUUUACAUUGUCAAAUUUAAAUACCUGUUCUCUCUUCUCCCAAAAUUCGUUUGGAACUUCCCUUAGAACAGUCUUCUCGAAACUGAGAACCUAAAAAUACCCCGGGCAAAACUGAUGUUUUUUUCUUUACCAUAUUGACCUUUGAUGCUUGAAGGAUUUUUUUAAACAAGCCGUUGACCAAUUAAACUAUUCUUCUUUGAAUUGCUUCCCUUCAUCGGUAUCCAGGACAAUCUAAAUCUUCCCACCAAUAAGCAAAGUCUUUUAAUGCGGCCUUUAUCGGAAUUAGCAAAAAGGUUUGGUUUGUUUGUCGCUCCAUUAUUGUCAUCUCCUCUAGAUCCCCCUUUUCUAGCUUUCGAUUUGAUGUGCCCUAAGAUAUUAAAAGUAAUAUUUUUAGCAUGAAUGCUUACGAUUUAAAUCUGAUAUACAAAGCAGUGAAAUAUUUCAACUUGGCAGUGUCCAAAUUCGUUUGUUAUUUUUUAUUACUGAGGUAAGUUUUAACGUAAAUUAGCUUAACCUUGCUUUAGCUGACAUUAGCAGCAACCCUAAAAAGAUUUUUCAAUGUCCAAUUGCAUGUAGAUUAAGAGGUUUUAAGCAGUAUUAAUUUGGAGUUGUAUUACAGUUAUCAGAUACCUUAUCGCAGAAUGUAUAAAAUGAAUAGCUAUUUUAUAAGUAUAUCCAAUUGAUCGUAUAUAGAUGAUUUUUUACCAGAUUAAGCAAUUUAAUUUUAUUUUUGGUUAAGUUUAUAAAACAUAGUUGCGUAGUUCUCAUUUUAAUUUGCAAAAACCGAGGCACAGGUGACGAACCCAAAUGAGAUGCAAAACGUAUUGAUUUAUCGCUAAAACGAGUUCCAGGGUGAACAAACCAAGUCCCAAUGUAAGCAGUAAGUAUUUUAGUCAAUCAGUACCUCUCUCGCUUUGAAAUAUCUUGAAUGACCUGUCUGCUACUCAAUGCAUUUAUGAAUAAUCCCUGAAACGGUUGUUUUAAUCCCCAGUCGCUUUCCACGGAAGUAAACAUUGAAGUAUCAAUAUCUUGCCAAUUAUGAUUGUAUCCACAUAGAGAAUGCAAAUUCUAUCCCUUUUUAAACCGAGUUUCAUUUUCGUAUUGUCAGGAAUGUGGUUGUCAAAGGGAUGAUUUCGAAGAUUGUGUCUUUUAAUUUUUUAUAGCCGGUUUUUAUUUCAGAAAGGACCAUCUAGAAGGAUCGAGAUUUGAUCAAUUUUUAGGAAGCUCCUGUGAAAGAUUUUAUUGUAGUAUUGUUUUACGUAAAAAUGUUUGCUUUUACUCAAAUAAUAGUUUCUUAGCUAUUGUGUGCACAUUGUAGCUUUAACUGUAGUUAAGAGAAAUGUCUUUAAUUAAAUCUAUGAUGAUAUAAGUGCACAUAUCUCCCUUUCCUUUUUUUAAUUGCUUCUUUUUCUGUUUAGCAAAGAUUUCAUUGAAUUAUCGUAUUUUUCGAUAAUUGUUUUUGGCAGCCGAUCAAAUGGAAAGAAAACAAAGAUAAUUGCGAACGAGGUUUGAGAUUUGCGAACGAGGAAUCUCUGCCACUGCAAUCAUUAUUGUCGCUGUUGUAAUCAUUAUACUGGAUAUCAUAAUUAUAUUCGUCACAAUGACCAUCCUCACUAUAAUUUUUAUUAUCUUCACCAUUAAAUACCACGACACAACUUCAUGGUAUGUUUUCACAUUUCAGCUUGAUAUCUUAAGCUGAAUUCACACUGGACACGUCGCGGCGCGGCGCGUCACUGAGCGUCAUCGAGCGUCGCGUCAUGUACUUUUUCAUGCUAUUCACACACGAUGCGUCAUCGAGCGGCACGUUUUCUGUUUUCCCAUGCUGUUCACAGCAAACUUGCAAAAUUCUCGACAAGUUGUACUGUAUUCUUUGCAUUGCAAAAUCAAGCCGGACAUUUACGUUUGCUACAGAAACGGAUGGAACGGCAAUCUGAAGCUAAUAUAUCCGAGAGGUUGGCCAAUGUUUUGAAAGGAACACGAUUCUCUUCAAGCAUUCAUUAGAGAACCGAAAUUUUUAUUUCGGUAGAAUAGUGCAUUUGUUGCUCAUAUUUCAGGAUGGCAGGCAGCAGCAGUAAAAGAACUGGACUUGAUGACUUUGUCAAAAUUGGAAAAGAGCUUUACAGCUCCUCUGAAGAACAUCCAAACGAACAUUUCCUCACAGUGUGCGCGCGUAUUUCCUAUUCACUUGAUAACGGGCUAUGCUCGAAAUGUCGUUAUUUAUUUAAAAAAAAAUAUUUUUUAGGUACAAUUUACUUACAUUGAUUACGUUAUUAUAGCAUCAUAUUGUACCGCACGCAUUUUAGUACAAGUUAACAGUAUCCGAUAAUAUUCCUUCAAAAGUUUUUAAAAUGGCAACAGAUGUUGUCUCGUUUCCCUAACUGGCGACUUAGAAUCAGAAACUGCAAUAGUUUAUGAAUGGUUAUGUGAAACUUUUUUGUGCUAAACGAUGAUAAUAGCAAGCUUUCAACAUUUAAAGCCAACCGAUUCAAUUUAGAGGAAUCUAAAGUUAAAAUUAAUGGUUUUAAUAUAAAAAAAGGCAAGCAUGUUAUAUUAUUAUGAGUAGCAUUGGAUCUUCAACUUAGAUUAGAAGAACAUAUAAAAUUUUUUGCAAAGAAGCUGGAAAAAAAGUAAAUGGCCUUAUUUUAUCAAACUUGAAUUUUUGUCCUGUUAUUUGGAUGUUUUGCAUUAGGAAAGUAAAAGCCGGAUAAACAGAAUUCAUCAAUCAGCUUUUGAAUAAAUUUUGUUAAAGAAUAAUUCAAUAAAUUCUGACAAGAAAAUUUACAGUAUCUUACAAUAGAAGUUUAUAAAAGAUUUAACAGUGUAAAUCCUCCUUUACUGGAUGAAAUAUUUUCCAUAAAUGAAUAGCCACCCAUAUAACUUAAGAACCUUCCAAUCUGAAACAGCGGAGCCUCAUUACAAAAUAGGAUUUGAUUUUGUACAGGGUCAUAUAGAUAUGGCCAUACAUGGAACUCAAUACCAAGCGAAAUAAUAUACUCUGCAAUUUUCCAAAUUUUCAAGAAGAAUCUCUGAAUUUUCAUCGUCCAAUUGUAGUUGGUUUUAAUUAGCUUCAGUAUAGCUAGAUAUAAGACAAAUUUUAAAUAAAAAAGAUAAAAAGCAAAAUACGUAGCCUUAUUAUCGCUAUUAACGCUAUUAAUUAGUUCUGAAUCUCCAAUAACUUAUAAUAUAUUAUUAGUAGUUAUGUCAUAACUAUGUCAUAAUACGUUAUACUUAGUGCAAAUGCUGUGUCCUAUACUUAUUGUAUGUCCUAUGGCUAAUCGAUUUGAUACUUGUCAAAAAUACUUCGUCACACUCUCUGCUAACGAUAUUCACACCUUGAGAUUAACGAAGAUUAAAUAUGGUGAAAAGAUUAUUAAAAUAUAUAAGACAGCAAAAUGCUAAAAAACACAGACUCGUGACAGGUUUGUGAAUAUUUUGUUUUUUAACAAUUUCAAAACUUGUUGCUAGUUUCUUUUGCAUUCACCAUUAAGUCUUACUCUUUUAUCUUAAUUUUCUAUGCUGGUCUUUCGUGUUCAGCAUCUUCUGAAAUCUUUUUAAUUCAAGGGUAUUAGUCGAUUAGUUUUUCAUUCUCUUUUUCAACGUUUUCCUUGCAAUUUUAUUCACAAAACUUUCGCCUUUCUUUUUAGAGUGGAUCCAUGUAUUCUUAGGCGGAAAACUACUUAGAAAAUCACUUGGCCACAUUAGAAUUUUGGAAUCCUCUUGGUUCUCCGAAUGGCUGCAGUCUGAUGAUGUAAAGUUUCCUUUACAUUUGUGUAGUCUAAAAACAUCGUUUGACUUCUUUAAAAGUAUAUUUCAAAACAAGAUUGGGUCUAUCAAUAUCUGCCAGAUGUGCUAAAUCAUUAAAUCUGAGUAAGUUCACCAUGAACACCAUGAAAACCUGAGUAAGUUUUUAAUCAUGUCACUUUGUAAUUGCUGUUGCGGUGACAGUUUUUUGCUACUUGAAUUUCAAUGACGAAAAUAAGACAUACAAGGUCUCGAUCUCUACUGAAUAUACUCACAAUAGUUUAACUUGGUUUUCAAUGUCCCAAGGCUUUGUACAGGAGAAGAGAAACAUUAUAACCUGAUCUCGACAGCUUGACCCAACGUAGUUAAGCUGUUACAAGGAUUUUUUCACAGACAGCUACUAGGAUAGAGCAAGACUCGCUUCUUUAUUCAAACAUUUACUUCCAUAAAGUUAUCUUGGUAAUUAAUAUGUUUAUUAGAGCUAGUUCUCGUAAAUAAUGGAUUUGAGAUUAUUCUGUAAUGAGUCUGUCCUGUUUUUGUAUUCCGGCUGUCGUUGAUUUCUAGAUAUUUUAAGAUGUUAUAUGAAUCUAUCGUAGAAAUUGAAAUGCAAAUAUCCAGAUAGAACUUAUUCACGGUGUUUUGACUUGUGUUAUGUAAGUGAAUUACCAGGGAUCUAUUUCUUAACAAGAGAAGCAAGAGGAGGCUCUUGAGAUAUUCAACACUGCUGACGUCAAAGGAAAGCUCUCUACGUAACUGUCGCUUUUAGGAGGGCUCUGACAAGUGUUUUCAAAAGCUUGAAAGUUUCACAGUAAGUUAGUUUGUUGUAAAGUUGUAGUUUUUCUCUUUUAAGAUUUUUUUGGAAGGGAAACUUGUCUCAGAGAUUUAUACCGAAAUGCUAUCCUGUAGCAGAAAGAAUGAUGAAUAAUGUAUCUCAUUUUAGGCUCGAUAUAAUUUUUUUCAAGAAAUAUGCAUGUUCAGAUAGUUGCUAUGAAAUGGCGUUAAAGUGUUGAUGUCUCUUACUGAAAAAAAUACAAUCCUUGAUUCUUUUUUACUUUUCUUGCAAAAUUGAAUACACAAUGCUAAGGUUUGCUUUUCUGUUCAAUUUAAAUCGUCAUUUUAUUUAUUGGAUAUUCUGUACAUUUGAUUUAUUUUAAGUGGGAAGUUUUUUCAAGUUUUUCAGCUCCAAUCGAUAAACUUGCUGAUAUGUUAGAUACGGUAAGUGAAUAUCUGCAACAUGAUUCCACUUUACUGUCUGAGCAGGACUUGCUGCAGAUUGUUAGGCCACUGCGUGAAGACACCAAAGUUGAAAGAAUUCUGAAAUUGGAAAUUUCGUGGCUUUAAAAGCAUUCAUUUGAGCUGAGCAAGGGUUAUUUAGUUUCUUUUAUUUAUCAAAAAACAGAUUGAAUAGUUUCAUCGAACUCGAAUCGAAAGCUGUUUUGGAAACUUGCUUUGUCUCGAAUCGUUCACGGUUGUUAAAGAUGUAAUUUACCUGACAGUUUCUGCUGCUCCUGCUCUUAUUUUGGUUUUCUUUGCAUUUAAAUAAUUGCUAUAUAAUUUGAUACACUGUAUUCAGAAAGUUUUACUGUAUCGACAAUUUAUCCCUCAAUCCCUUACCUCAAUCAUUGCUUACCUGGAUCAGACGAUAAGAGUACAGCGUCAUGUUUGUCUCUGCUGAAGACUAUAAGCAUGUUUUGUAUGAUAUCGGCAUGUACAAAAGUGUCUAAGGCCUUCCACACAAAGAAACGUGAAACAGUUUCACAAGCAGCCUGUAGAGAAGACUGUUUCUGUAGCACCUGUUUAUAUUGACCUGAAUUUACUUUCUAGAUUCGGAUAGUGGCUUUAUGGGGUGGUUUGAGUCAAAUUUGUCAGCUGGUGCAAACCAUUUUGCAUGUGUUUCGAGAAUUCUUGAGACAAUUCCUAAUCAUCAAAUAGUACUUUACUAGACCAGCUCGAGAAAUUGACAGUUCUUUAGCUUUGCAUUUUUUCUUCCUUUUAGAUAUCAGUUCUGGACAAAGAAAGGGAUGAAGACAAAUUCUACCUGUUUUGGAUGUAGUAAAAGAAAGUAAAAUGCGAGUGAAUUCAGUGAUAUUGGGCAACUGCUGUUGGUUUGGCCGGCUUCUGCUGCAACUGAGAUGAAGUAAGUCAAUACAAUUUUUUCAUUUCAUUUUUCAUUUUCAAUUUUUUGGAUAAGAGAAUACCCUAGGAGGGUUAUUUAAUUUUUGGAAAGGGGAACCCGUUUUAAUUUCAGUUUCGAAAUUUUACAUCUGUUAUUUGUUUUGCUUGUUUUGUUACUUGAAAAUCUUAUUAAAUCUUACUUAUUUCCUUACGAUAUGAUACUGCAAAAGUUCUGGAUUGUAAAGGAAUCUUAGAAUUCACUUUGGAAUGGUUCAGUCGUUCAAUGUGAUAUUCUAAGGUGGAUCUGCAAAGGAGUUUAUGCUGUCACAUGUUCCGUCCUUGAUUAGUCAAUCGAUAAAUUGAAUUGCCGAACGUUGAAAUUGCCUGAUUGUGGGUUAAAUAGGGAAGGUUUCUUUGCUGGUAGGUUUUACUCCUGGAAGGUCACCACCCCUUCUCCUAGCCUGCAAAUAAAGGCACAAUGGGAAAAUGUUUCAAGAUUAAAAAUUCAUUGCCAGUCAAACAGUCCUUUUGUAAGUGACUUAAAUUUUUUUGUCAGUUGAUAAGCUUCACAUGCUAUAUGCAGAAAAACUUUGGCGUAAAAUAACGGCUUCAGGAGAGGACCCUCGUCACGAAAUCCUUCAUCUGAAGAAGAAUGCUCAUCUUUUUUGGAAUAGUUGUACUAUACCAUGUGAGCAUAGCUCGAAGUUUUCUGAUAUAUCUUUUUACCUUGUCUUCGUUGUACGUUGAGGAAUUAUUAGCCGCUUUUUUCAUUUUUAAGGUCAAAUUUGUUUAGUUGAUAUCAUUUUUUAGCUAAAUAUACUCUUUUUAGCGAAAAUUAUGACCAUAUUUGGAUGAUAUUGCUAAGAAAGUUGAUAGAGUGUAAGGACAUUUGGAUAUUUCUUGGACUGACGAAACGAACAUCUCAAAAGAAUACCUUUGAGCUGGAGGCAAAAUUUAUUGUAUGACUGUAGAAUUGCUUUUAACUGAAAGUGGGUAAAUAAGAUAUCACCCCUUCAUAAUGAGGCUCUAUUCACAUGCUGUCCGCGCAUUCUUAAAAAAAUGGAUAACUUACAAUUUGUCAAUAUUGUUCAAGGUUUGUUGAUUCUUGCAGCUCGUAUCGUUCAAUGUCGUAAAUGUGUCCAUCGAAACGUUACAUUCAUUGUUUUUUGGUAUUUUUGCAAUCUAAACCGAAGUUUUGAAUUAAUCAAAAAUCAAAUUAACAUACCUCAUGAUGACUCAAAUGUACAUCUUCAGCUAGAGUAAGAUUUUGCUUCUCUGUCUUCACAUAAAGUAAGAACAUCCUUUUCUGUCAUAGGAUUCAUUAGAUGUUGCCACUUGCCACCCACAUUCGUUUGUUGAAGGAAAUUAAAGCAGCAGCUCGAGGACUGGUUCAGUUGGAGCAAAUAUUCACGUUAUUUCGAAGCUGAUAGCAAAAAUCAACGCUGUGCUAGAAGGCCAGAAUCAAUUGGGGGAAAUGUUCAUUAAAUAUACCACUAAAAUAUCAUAGGAAGAUGACCAGAAGAAGGAAGAAUCCAAAUUGAUCUUAAAGUACUCCUUGGCGAAAGCCUCUGACUUGGCAAUGUAAGUCGAUUAUGCAUGCUUAGAACGGCAGUUGCUUAGAAAAUUCAUUUGGACACAUUCAAAAUUCAGAAGCUUUUUUUCGAAUGGCUGCAGUCUGAUGACGCAGUAGACUUUUUUCGAAGAUAAUGGUGAUGACCAUCCUUGAGCACUUGAGGAGCGAACCGAUAGAGUACAAGGACAUUUAGAGAUUUCUUGAUCUGAUGGAGCAGUCAUCUCAAAAGACUGCUUUUGGAUUCAAGGUAAAGAUAUUGUAUGAUUAUUUUUGUAAAUAUAAUCGCUAUCAUCAUUACUUCUACAACGGAAUCCCUGUGUCCAAUUUUGAAGCAGUUAAUUUUCGGUAGAAUAUCAGUGUCCAAUUUUGAAGCAGUUAAUUUUCGUCAUUGUAGACUAUCCUCUACAGUGGUCCAAUUUGAUAGAAGUUCUUCUACAGUGGGCCAAUUUGACAGAUGCUCUUUUCCAAAGGCCCGAACGCUCUUCGCCAUAGGCCCAUUUGAUGGACGUUCUUCUCCCGAGACCUAGUUCUUCUAGUGUUACCGUAUUUUAUAUAAUAAUAAAACGAAUACUUAGACAAGAUUUACACUUCAACGAGACUGCUGUUUUUAAUGUGUCUUCUGUGCCCUAUGCCGUAAAUUUACAGUUAAAAUGUAAGCUCAUAAAAGUAAUUAUCUAAAAGACAUAAAAAGCGUAUUAGUCUAAUAUUUUAAUCUAUAUUAAUAGUUCCGGAUAAAAUUGCCAAAUAAAUGAUCGUUUCUUGAUCACAUCUUAGUUACAAGAUACACUGCUGGCCUAUGGAUUUAUAGUUGGGGCUUUGAAGAUGGCUUUGAUGGUUCGCUGAAAACAUUUAUUGUUUUAUUUCUUUAGAUAUUUAUAUAUUAAUUUAUCUUACGAGAUUUCCCCUGAUUUUACUAAGUUGUCGUUUUUUACAAAGAGCCCCAUCUUUUGCUAAACUGUCGGUUUAAACACAGUUUUUGGCACUCUUUCGGUAAAUUUUGUCAUUUGUCGGCAAAUUUGCUUGUUUUGUGAGAUUUCGCCUCCCCCCACCCCUCUGAAAAAUUAAUUCCCCCCUCUAAUGAAAGGUACUCUGAAAUCUAAAUCUAGAGGCGGAACCUAAUUAAAAUUUUGUAGAUUAAAACUUGAGUAAACCAAAAGACGAAAUUUUGUUUAGUGACAUUUUUAGACUGCGGGGCUUGUUACUGAAAAAGGGAUAGUAA